GACGAACGCUGGCGGCGUGCUUAACACAUGCAAGUCGAACGGAAAGGCCCUGCUUUUGUGGGGUGCUCGAGUGGCGAACGGGUGAGUAACACGUGAGUAACCUGCCCUUGACUUUGGGAGAACUUCAGGAAACUGGGGCUAAUACCGGAUAGGAGCUCCUGCUGCAUGGUGGGGGUUGGAAAGUUUCGGCGGUUGGGGAUGGACUCGCGGCUUAUCAGCUUGUUGGUGGGGUAGUGGCUUACCAAGGCUUUGACGGGUAGCCGGCCUGAGAGGGUGACCGGCCACACGGGAACACAGACACGCCCCCGACGACGGCGGGAGGCAGCAGUAUGUCACCUUGGGCAAGUGGCGAGAGCCUGCCGCAGCGCGGCCGCGUGAUCGACGUAGUUCUUCGGAUCGGAUACCUCUUUUAUUAGGGAGGAAGAUAUGUGUAAGGAACCGUGCACAUCGUAACGGUACGUAAUCAGAAAGCCACUGCUAACUCCUUC
rnacentral:rRNA from 1 species